UUGAAAGACGCGCAGAUAGAUGUCAGAUUCUCCCGUAGGGAGGUCUGGCAAGGUGUUAGUUUAGGCGGCGGAGUUGUACGCGGGCCAGUCUGUGUUACAGCUUUGCCGCCAGGGUAGCUCCUUCCGAGUUACUGAGGACCAGUUUUCCUCACAGGAGGAGGCUGGUGGGGCCUAGGGUGUUAGGGGUACAACGGUUGGCUCUUUCACAGAACGGGUGUUUUCCGUUCUGCGUUUGAGUCUGCCGCCUUUGGGCGUCUCCCUCUGAGAUGUCGGUUAGGAUUUCUUUUUUUUAUAUGUCCGUGUGUGUAACUGUUGCCUUUUAGCCUGUUGUGUUCCUGAGCAGCAAGAAGAGGCGGCUGUGGUGACCCGCCCGAUGCGGAAGGCUUCUGGGCCCUGUCGGCGGGGGCGCACCUCUCUGGCUGACUGGUUGACCAGGCUUUGACCAGGUGGCCGGGGAGGCGCAUCCUCGCUGGGCGGGGUCUGGGGGCCCUCCGUCUUGGGGAGGUCGCUGCAGCAGGAGGAGGUAACUACUGCUGGUUUUGUAAGGCAUUGUGGUUGAGAGCACCUUGCAGCUGUAACGCGAAUUUCGUUCCGUAAUAAACAAUGUACCGCCAUGCUGCCUGUCCUUCCUCCCUCCCAGCACUGUGUACGUCUGUGUGUGUGUGUGUUGCUUAAUUCUCCCUCACUGCACUGUGCGUCUGUGUGCGUGUUGCUUAAUUCUCCCUCACUGCACUGUGCGUACGUCUGUGUGUGUGUGUUGCUUAAUUCUCCCUCACUGCACUGUGCGUACGUCUGUGUGUGUGUGUUGCUUAAUUCUCCCUCACUGCACUGUGCAUACGUCUGUGUGUGUGUGUUGCUCUGUCUCUCUCUCUCAAUCUCUCUCUCUGUCUCUGUCUGUCUCUGUCUGUCUCUCUAUCUCUCAAUCUCUCUCUGUGUCUUUCUCUCUCUCUAGUUAGUAAAGAACGGGCAACGUUUGCCAUGGAAGACUCUACAGUAUAAGACUCUACAGUAUACAUAAGACUACAGUGUACAUCCCAACCCUCUACGGCCGUUGCUGCUCCACCCGGGCAUUACCACAUCCACCCGGGUCUACAAGAAACCUCCACGGCCGAGCCUCAACCACAGAACACACCGCUACGGUUGAUGAGGUUCCACGCCCCGGACUACCGCCAUGUUAGCCUCGAUAAUAGUCCUCGGCGCACUUGUUCUGAGACGUCCUGACUGGAGAGCUACACAACACUGGUCAUCUGCUGAGUGGUUGAUUUCCUGGUCUACCGGCCCCUGGAGGAGUGGUCAAUUUCCUGGUCUACCGUGGAUAUGAGUGGUUGAUUCCCUGGUUUACCCCUGGAUGACGCGGCUGUUCCUAUGCAGGGGAAGACUCACACAAGCGAUAAGCACCUGUCGGACCUGGAGACUCCCCCCUGAGCCUGACGGUGGAGCUGUGGGCCCUGCACCAGACCCCCACACCCCCCCCCACACCACCCAGAGCAGGGGCAGGGCGUUGAGACUCCCCCCACAGGCUAAGACAGGGAGGGACUUGAAGAUCCAGGUUUUUGUCAUCUGCACAGGAGUUGACACAUGAUGUCUAAGGUUUCGCCCAUGCAGCUGAAGGGUGCCAAUGCCUACACAUGCAUCGACCACAGGUGUGCGCUGGACAUUGCCUACAAUUCAUGGUGCAAAUGGGAGUGUCGGCGGAGAUCGAGCUGUCUGAAGGUUGGCAGCCGGGUCAAGCUCGCCUCGGACAAGGAGUUCUGUGAGAUGUGCUCGGCGGAUGUUGUUGACCUCGGCCACAUCAAUGCUACUAAGGUGGUGGAGGUGUGGAAACUACAUCUACAUUGACGACGGACUCAAGGAGAUCCCUGAGACUACUAUUAUUACUAUUACUACUAUGUGUUCUAUUAAAUCCUCUAU